UUCUAGAGCUAAUACAUGCUAAAAACCUCGACUUCGGAAGGGGUGUAUUUAUUAGAUAAAAGACCAAUGCCCUUCGGGGCUCCUUGGUGAUUCAUAAUAACUUAACGAAUCGCAUGGCCUUGCGCCGGCGAUGGUUCAUUCAAAUUUCUGCCCUAUCAACUUUCGAUGGUAGGGUAGUGGCCUACCAUGGUUGCAACGGGUAACGGACGAUUAGGGUUGGACUCCGGAGAGGGAGCCUGAGAAACGGCUACCACAUCCAAGGAAGGCAGCAGGCGCGCAAAUUACCCAAUCCCGACACGGGGAGGUAGUGACAAUAAAUACUGAUACAGGGCUCUUUUGGGUCUUGUAAUUGGAAUGAGUACAAUUUAAAUCCCUUAACGAGGAACAAUUGGAGGGCAAGUCUGGUGCCAGCAGCCGCGGUAAUUCCAGCUCCAAUAGCGUAUAUUAAAGUUGUUGCAGUUAAAAAGCUCGUAGUUGAACCUUGGGUCUGGCUGGCCGGUCCGCCUCACCGCGUGCACUGGUCCGGCCGGAUCUUUCCUUCUGGGGAGCCUCAUGCCCUUCACUGGGUGUGCUGGUCAACCAGGACUUUUACUGUGAAAAAAUUAGAGUGUUCAAAGCAGGCCUAUGCUCGAAUACAUUAGCAUGGAAUAAUAGAAUAGGACGUGCGGUUCUAUUUUGUUGGUUAUAGGACCGCCGUAAUGAUUAAUAGGGAUAGUCGGGGGCAUCAGUAUUCAAUUGUCAGAGGUGAAAUUCUUGGAUUUAUUGAAGACUAACUACUGCGAAAGCAUUUGCCAAGGAUGUUUUCAUUAAUCAGGAACGAAAGUUAGGGGAUCGAAGACGAUCAGAUACCGUCGUAGUCUUAACCAUAAACUAUGCCGACUAGGGAUCGGGCGAUGUUAUUAUUUGACUCGCUCGGCACCUUACGAGAAA
rnacentral:rRNA from 1 species